UACGUAGGGUGCAAGCGUUAUUCGGAAUUACUGGGCGUAAAGCGUGCGCAGGCGGCUUUGCAAGUCAGCUGUGAAAUCCCCGGGCUUAACCUGGGAACUGCAUUUGUGACUGCAUGGCUGGAGUGCGGCAGAGGGGGAUGGAAUUCCGCGUGUAGCAGUGAAAUGCGUAGAUAUGCGGAGGAACACCGAUGGCGAAGGCAAUCCCCUGGGCCUGCACUGACGCUCAUGCACGAAAGCGUGGGGAGCAAACAGG
rnacentral:rRNA from 1 species